rnacentral:rRNA from 1 species
CCUACGGGUGGCAGCAGUGAGGAAUAUUGGUCAAUGGACGAGAGCCUGAACCAGCCAAGUAGCGUGAAGGAUGACUGCCCUAUGGGUUGUAAACUUCUUUUAUAUGGGAAUAAAAUGUUCCACGUGUGGGAUUUUGUAUGUACUAUAUGAAUAAGGAUCGGCUAACUCCGUGCCAGCAGCCGCGGUAAUACGGAGGAUCCGAGCGUUAUCCGGAUUUAUUGGGUUUAAAGGGAGCGUAGGUGGAUUGUUAAGUCAGUUGUGAAAGUUUGCGGCUCAACCGUAAAAUUGCAGUUGAAACUGGCAGUCUUGAGUACAGUAGAGGUGGGCGGAAUUCGUGGUGUAGCGGUGAAAUGCUUAGAUAUCACGAAGAACUCCGAUGGCGAAGGCAGCUCACUGGACUGCAACUGACACUGAGGCUCGAAAGUGUGGGUAUCAAACAGGAUUAGAUACCCCUGUAGUC